UACCGCUCCAGUGGCCUAGUAGUUAGAGCAUCCACCUUAGGAGCUGGAGGUCUCGGGUUCGAACCCUGGUUGAGUAA